rnacentral:rRNA from 1 species
AAUACCGCGGCCCUUUAAAAUUUUUCAGUGGGCAGAUUAGACUUUAAAUUAUAUUCAAAAAGACAUGUUUUUGUUAAACAGGCGAGUAUUUUUUUGCCGAAUUCCUUAAUUUAACCUUUCAAAAUUAAUUCAUUUUAAACAAUUAAAUAUACUAAUUUUAUCAUUAUUUCAAUUUUUAUAUAAUUAUAAAAAUUAUUUUAAUAAAAACUUAAAUCAAUAAAAAUUACUUUUAAUUUAAAAUAAACUAUAACAUUUUUAUAAUUAAUGACUAUUUCUAAGCCUAUAAUUUUUAAAUUAAAAAAUUAUUAUAAAAUUUAUUUUAAAGCUUAUCCCUUAAAAUAUUAAUUAUUAAUAAUAAUUUAUUAUUUAAAUAAAUAAUUAUUUAUUAAUAAUCUAAAUUUAAUUUAUUUCUUAAAAAACUAGAUAUAUUCAAGAACGAAUAACAUUUCAUUUCUAAUUAAUUAUUUUAAAUUUUUAUAAAACAAAAAAUUAAAUAAUAAAUUAACUCUCUUAAAUUCGAGAAAAAUUAAAUUCUUAACUUUUAAUUAAUAAACCCUGAUACACAAGGUACAAUAUAUUAAAUUUACUUUUAAUUUAAAACUUUUUCAAAUAUUUCAAUAUUCUUUUACAAUACUAAUUAACUAUCAUAAAAAUUAUUUGAUCUAUAUACUAUACAAAAAAAAAUUAAAAUUAAAAUUAAUUUUAUUAAAUAAAUUAAUAAACAAAAAAAAAUAUAAAUUUUUAUUAUCAAAUUAAAUUGAAUUACACAAUAUACUUUUCAAUGUAAAUGAAAUGCUUUACUUUUCAAGCUCUAAUCUGUCUUUCUAGAUACACCUUC